rnacentral:rRNA from 1 species
CGGCAAUGGAGGAAACUCUGACCGAGCAACGCCGCGUGAAUGACGAAGUACUUCGGUAUGUAAAGUUCUUUUAUCGAGGAAGAAAAGCAAAUGGCGAACCAUUUGUUUGCCGGUACUUGAUGAAUAAGCCCCGGCUAAUUAUGUGCCAGCAGCCGCGGUAAGACAUAAGGGGCAAGUGUUAUCCGGAAUUAUUGGGCGUAAAGGGUGCGUAGGCGGUCUAGUAAGUCAGUGGUGUAAUGUCAACGCUUAACGUUGUCCGGCUAUUGAAACUGCUAAACUUGAGUUAGAUAGAGGUGAGUGGAAUUCCAUGUGUAGCGGUAAAAUGCGUAAAUAUAUGGAGGAACACCAGAGGCGUAGGCGGCUCGCUGGGUCUUAACUGACGCUGAGGCACGAAAGCGUGGGGAGCAAACAGGAUUAGAUACCCUGGUAGUCCACGCCGUAAACGAUGAGUACUAAGUGUCGGGUUAAACCGGUACUGAAGUUAACACAUUAAGUACUCCGCCUGAGUAGUACGUACGCAAGUAUGAAACUUAAAGGAAUUGACGGGACUCCGCACAAGCGGUGGAUCAUGUUGUUUAAUUCGAAGAUACCCGAAAAACCUUACCAGGUCUUGACAUGUUUUUGCAAAAUGAUAGUAAUAUCGUGGAGGUUACCAGAAACACAGGUGGUGCAUGGUUGUCGUCAGCUCGUGUCGUGAGAUGUUAGGUUAAGUCCUAAAACGAGCGAAACCCUUAUCGUUAGUUGCCAGCACGUUAUGGUGGGGACUUUAACGAGACUGCCAAUGAUAAAUUGGAGGAAGGUGAGGAUCACGUCAAAUCAGCAUGCCCCUUAUGACCUGGGCUACAAACGUGAUACAAUGGCUGUUACAAAGAGUAGCUGAA